rnacentral:lncRNA from 12 species
CCAACCUGGGCCACUUUGGGUGGGCUGGGGGCAGCCCCAGGGCCGGCAGCAGUGCGUGCAAGGGCCCUUUGUGACACAGUGCAGCAUGGUCACCAUGGCAUGGAACAGGACACGGUGUCAAAGGACCCUUUGUGACGUGUGGUGAUAUAGGAGCUGGCGGUGACACGGCCACGCCACAAUGCUUGGAGCACGCGACGGGACAGGACGGGACAGAGCGGUGCUGUGAGGAGCCCCUGCACAGCGCACUCGUUCCUGUCUGACCCAGAGCUUUUCCUAAGCGUUACUCCUGCAGGUGACCUUGUGGAAAGACUGCAGGACUUGGUGGCCCGUGGCCUUCCCAAGGUUUCUCUUUUGCAGGAGCAGUCGCGGCCAGACCGUGGGACUUGCUGACCCGAAUUGUUUACAAGGAGUCUCCUGUCCCUGUAGCAGGAGCCCUCAAGACCACAGUGCAGGACUUGCUGUCCUGCAGCUUUCCUGAGGCUUCUCUGUCGUGGGUGUCUUCAAGGCACAACUGCACGACUUGUUGCCUCACAGCUUUCCCGAGGCAUCUCUCUAAAAGGUGCCCUCUAGGCCAGACUCUGCCAUGGCAGACAGAUUUCUCAACCUCUUCAAAGUGUUCAGGAGGAAAAAGAAGAAAGGUGCUGGAGUUUCCCCACCACAACAGCCUGAAGAGCCUGCAGAGCCAAUGCAGGAUGGCGCAGCCAUGGAACGCACACAAGAGCAGGACACCGCCCGUGGUCGCUUCCGCAGAGCACUGAAGAUGUUGCGGAAGUUUGUGCUGAUUCGACGUAGAAAGACCAGCACAGCAACAGAGGGCACAGCCGAGCCUGACUCCAGGCUGACCGAGAUCCAGGCAGAGCCUGAUGUCAGCCCAGAUUUGCCUGAAUGUUCAGAAAACUCUGACACUGCAAGGAAUGAUGAGAGGGGAAAGGCUGACAUGGCAGUGACUGAGGACAUAGCCAUAACAAUUGCUGACAUUGGAGAUACUCAGGGCAUCACAAAUACUGACACCACUCCCACUCUGAGACAGGAACUCAUAGUGGACUAUUUCAAAAACCAUUGUGCUUCUUCUCAGCAGCACUUAAGCAGCCUGGGGCCAGGGCUCGAGGCCUCCCAGGACUGCGUGCCCACUCACACCAUGUUCACUGGGCCCCCUCAGUCUUUGAGGCCAGCACAGUGUGGCAGGGAGAGAAGCACUUCUUGGAGGAAGCUGGCGAGUUGCUCCUUUGGACAACGCUCCAAGUCUUCACCAUGCCUCCCCCAGGUACCAGCCAUGGUGAAAAGCAUUCACAGGAGUCUGAUUUCCCAUGCCAUUGUGGAUGUUAGGCUGCAAAUUGACAUUGUGAGGUUGGCUGAAGAACACCCUGCUGACAUGGUGCUGACCCUCCUGCGCUGUGCCCCAACGUGUGACAGAGCUGCUGUAAUGAUGUGGAGAACCAUAGGCCCAUCAAAGUCAACAGUGGAGAAGAUGCUGCCAACUCUGCUCUGUGUGAUGGAGGACUGGCCUCUGCACAGAAUGUGCACCUCGGAUGGAGACAACAAAGAUGUUUUUGCCCUGGCUGCAACUCUGGCACUCCGGGCGAUUAUCCAGGUGCCCAAGUGCCAUGAGGCAAUGGACAUUUAUGCCCCCCACCUCCUCGUGGCUCUGCUAGUUCAAAUUUUCAACAGCACCAUAUAUGGAACUGAGGAGGUAGACAGCUUUUGGACACAAUGCCAGGCAGAACACAACCUUCAAACAAACCCCAGCAGGUUUGCAGUGCAGACCAUGAAGUCCCUGCUCUUCCGACUGCGGUGUGACAGUGUGGUGAUGGCAAUGGAGCGCAAGCAUGGCUGGGACACGCUGCUGUGUGCUGACACCCAGCACUAUGCUGUGGGUCUGCUGGCCAGGGAGAUGCGACACAUCCUGAACCCCCUCUGUUCCCGCACUGCAUGCCACCUGCUCCAGCUUCUAGACACGGAGAAGCCACGCUGGGACCUGCCCUUCCUGGCAUUCCUUGUGGAGGUCUUUGAGUGCUUGAACUUAAUUAAAUAUGGUGACAACAUCCUUGAGAUCAUAUCAAGGUACCUGCAGAGUGAGUGCAGGGAGAGGUGUCGCCUGGUGCUCAGAGGCCUUGUGGUGCUCAGCAAGGAUCCCUCGAUGGCCAGAAGAAUGUGCAGCCUGUCUCAAAACCUCCUGGAGCUGCUGGGUGAUGCAGAUGGAGAGCUGGUUGGCAUGACCCUCUGUGUGUUCAUUAAUGCGCUCCAGGACAAAGACGUCCUGAUAUCCAGCACCACCUCCUUGAAGCUGGCUGAAGCACUCUUGAUGCUCUUUGACAACGACAACAGUCAUGUGCAGGUGCUCUCCCUUGACCUCUUCUUCAAGAUGAUGCAGUUGGUAGUAGAUGAGGGGAAAAAGCUGCUAAUGAAGAUUUUGAGCCAGAGCCUACUCCCACUGUUCUUGCACUGCCAUGAGGAGAACGAGCACGUGGCGAAGGCCUCUCGGGAAGUGCUGCAUUGUGCAGUCGGGUUCUUGAAGAAGACGGACCUCCAGCAGGCGUUGGAUACAGAGAACCUGUGGAAUUUCGCCGAGUGCCUGGGAUGGCCGGGCGGUACCUGAUGGGGCAGAAGGAAGAGCUUCAGCUCAUCAGUGAGGGCCUUGAUGCCACAAGAAACAACACCAUCCUGUACUGGUGUGACACUGAAAUUCAACCCCAGUUCGCCAACAGAACUGAAGAAGUAGGGUCAUUAUUUGGAUCCAGGGAACCAGUGUCUCAAGAGUACUACCAGGAGACACUGAAGAGGACACCACAUCCAAGUGUCGCUGGAGCUUCAGGCACAGCUGAUGCUGAGCACAACUGAGCCCAUGGGAAGCUCGCAUGGCUUCAGCCCUCCUCUUCUUGAAGAUAGCUCUCUCCCUCCAACCUUCAGACACUGCCCAUCCCCCUUUUUCCCCUCUACUCUCCCUCCCUUUUGACACCUCCAUCUCACCAGCCCUCAGACCAUGUCCAUCCCCAUGUUUUCCUUUCACUCUUCCUCCUGUUAGACAGCUGCAUCUCUCUAGACCUCAGACCAUACCCAUUCCCUUUUCCCUCCCAGAUUUUUUGCUUUCCAUUAAUAAACUGUUUGGCU